rnacentral:lncRNA from 1 species
GCGCAUGGUGCAUGGUACUUGCAGUAUGCCACGCCUAUGAAAGAUGGAGCCUCUUUUAAAACAAUGAACCCCUCAUGCGGAAUUUACAAUACAUUUGAUUCGGCAUGCGGCUGUAUUGGAAUUUUCUACACAAAAGGCAAGAAAGAAGAGUACACUGGAACAUCAUUUGGCUACUUGAAAGAGUAAGAAAAUAUUGUCUUAACCUUCAAUAAUUAGAACGCAUUUCGACGGUGUAAGUCCGAAACCACGUAUCUACUUUGCUGUGUUUGAAAAUCUCCACUUCUACAUUACUUUUUAAAAGAGAAAAAAUCGACAUCAUUCCUUGAAGUUUUAGCAAAGUUUUCUUCGGGCGGAGAGGAAAAAUCACGGUAAUUUUUAAGAAUUGCGCCUUCGCUAGGGUUAUUGAGCACUGGCGCGGCGCGCAGUGCAUAAUGCUCAACGUGCGGUGCGGACAAGAAAAGCAAGGCGCCUUCAAAUUUUCUAAUAUGCAACAUGCACACUCAUAAAGCACGAAUAGUUGCAUCCAGGCCCUGUGAUAAACAUUCCCUCCAUUCGCGCAUCUAUCGACUGCAAAACGGAGGGAAAUACUGUGCGCGUGCUCCUAAAUGGAUUCUCACGGCACUGAUGCUCAAAUAUUUAAGAACUGCAAUUCCUUAAUGUGAUCAGAAAAAUUUGAAUAGUAAAGUAAUGCAGAUAACAUUUUCAGUAUUCAAAAUUAAUUUUCGUAAUCAUGUUGAAAUUUCUAAUUUUCCAGCGAAAACUUGAUGUUUAUCAGGAAUUUCACAACUGCCACCGUGGACAUUGACGGCAGAAAAUCCGAAAAACCAGUGGUACAGCAUUUAGAAGAAUUACAGUGCCGAAGCAUUACAAGCAGUGCACGAUAGAAUUCCCAGAGCUGAAACCUGCCGGUGAGGAUGUUCAAAUACGAUACUACGAUCUGGUAGCAUCUGAUGACAACAAAUCUUAUCGAGUAUUGAUAAGUUGCGACGAUGGAUGCUUUGAUUCAAAAGAUAUAAGAAGCGUUUUUGACAGGAACAACCCUAAAAUUUGGAUUUUUCAUCGUAGCCUGAAACCAACGAAUAAACAGUUAGCCGCAGCUUUCCAUUUCGUCCGCAAAUACGGUUUUCGCAAAAACAGGCUAAGGAAAGUCUCGCAUACGAAAUGUGUGUAUCCGAGGAUCGCUUCGUAAAUAAAGAAUCGAGAGAAUUUAUUCCGAAAUAUGUUUACUUUUUCUCGCCGUAUGUAGAUUUCAAAUCCAAGUUGGACUUCAUUUACAGUUUGGAACUACAAUUUCUGAAAGAACACGUUUGUGCAUAAGGAAACAAACGGUACACACGUUGUUUCUGAAGUAGGCCAUAGAUUGUAGUCUAAUGUCUAAUUGUUGUGACUGAGAAGUAUCGACGGUGACACUGAAGAAACGCGUAACUAGUUUGCGGUGUUUCUAAAUCUCCGCGCCCUUUUGAUUUUAUCAAAAAGGAGUAAACUAUGACUAUUGCUAA